UCGAGAAUCUUCCGCAAUGGACGAAAGUCUGACGGAGCGACGCCGCGUGCGGGAUGAAGGCCCUCGGGUUGUAAACCGCUGUCAUAGGGGAGGAAAUUUUGACCGAUCCUAAGAGGAAGCACAGGCUAAGUUCGUGCCAGCAGCCGCGGUAAUACGAACUGUGCAAACGUUAUUCGGAAUCACUGGGCUUAAAGGGUGCGUAGGCGGGUUUGAAGGUCUGAUGUGAAAGCCCACGGCUCAACCGUGGAAUUGCGUUGGAAACCACAAGUCUUGAGGAGAUCAGAGGUAAGCGGAACUGAUGGUGGAGCGGUGAAAUGCGUUGAUAUCAUCAGGAACACCGGUGGCGAAAGCGGCUUACUGGGAUCUUUCUGACGCUGAGGCACGAAAGCUAGGGGAGCGAACGGGAUUAGAUACCCCCGUAGUCC
rnacentral:rRNA from 1 species